UUUCUGCUGAGGACGACCGGUCCGCCCUCUGGGUGAGUAUCUGGCUCGGCCUUUGCAUCUUCUUGAAGAAUGUAACUGCACUUGACUGCGUGGUGCGGCAUUCAAGACUUUUACUUUGAGGAAAUUAAAGUGUUUGACGCAGGCAUAUGCCUUGAAUACAUUAGCAUGGAAUAAUGAGAUAGGACCUUUAUUCUAUUUUGUUGGUUUUUAGAAUUGAGGUAAUGAUUAAUAGGGAUAGUUGGGGGCAUUCGCAUUUAACU
rnacentral:rRNA from 1 species